UUUUGUGAGACCAGGGCCAGGACCGCAAUUCCUGGUAACCUGGUCCAUGGGGUCAUCAGGUUGCAAAAUCCCUGGCAUCAUUCGGGUCAGAGGCUUUUCACAGCACUGCUGCACACACCCUGGCCUCCACCUCUCUUUCCCUCUCUACCUGCCUUCCUUCCCGGGGCCCUUCCCUCCUUUAUGCGUCCAUCUUUCAAGCAUGUGAUAACAUCCAGCCUGCUGACUCACAUUUGCCUCUGCAUUAAUGUCUGCCAGAUCUUCUCUUGCCCCCCAUGCCUCCUCCUCCGCACCCAGCAUUUACACUAUGAAAAGGUUGAAUGACACUUCCCAUUUUCACUGCACUUUGCAGACUACAGCUCACGGCCACUGUCUCUCCGUUUUAAAGGAAGCAAAGGAGAAGGCUGAUUCCACUGGGACUGCUGUUGGAUGCACCUGGAACGUCUUGUCAUACCAGAAAGCAGGACCACUUGAAGACUCCUAUGUUCAUGUCAAAGAACUUGGGAGCCUGCAUGGAGAGCCUGGGAUUUGAUUAUAAGAAGAGUUAGGGUGUAGGGAGGGUAUAGAUGAAACAAGAUUGGCUGGUAGGUGACAAUUGUUAAGGCUGAAUAUUGAGGAUGUGAGGAUUCAUUACAUCAUUUUCUUUAAAUUUGUAGUCUUGAAAUUGUCAAUAAAAAUCUAAAAAUAAUAAAAUAAAAAGUAGCU